AUACGGAGGAUGCAAGCGUUAUCCGGAUUUAUUGGGUUUAAAGGGUGCGUAGGCGGUUUGCUAAGCGGGAGGUGAAAUGCCGGCGCUCAACGUCGGAAGUGCCUCCCGAACUGGUGGACUGGAAUGACUCUGCCGUGGGAGGAAUGUGUAGUGUAGCGGUGAAAUGCUUAGAGAUUACACAGAACACCGAUUGCGAAGGCAUCUCACGAAGGGUUGAUUGACGCUGAGGCACGAAAGCGUGGGGAGCAAACAGGAUUAGAUACCCUGGUAGUCCACGCUGUAAACGAUGAAUACUAGGUGUAGGGGGUAUCGACUCCCUCUGUGCCGCAGUUAACACAAUAAGUAUUCCGCCUGGGGAGUACGGCCGCAAGGUUGAAACUCAAAUGAAUUGACGGGG
rnacentral:rRNA from 1 species